GUCGGUUAAAAGGGGUCUCAAAAUAGGGGUGGUUUUGCUAAGUCGGUGUAAGGAACUCUCUCGAGCAUAUCCUCAAUUUUCUUUGAUGAAGUUGCAGAGGGACCAGAGGAAAAGAAUUUCGAGGGUUAUCGGAGCGUUCGGUGUUGAAGAAGAUGGUGAAAACAACGAAAAAUUUGAGGUGAUUCUGCUGUUCUGACAGAUUGAGCAAGCUUCAGUAUUUUUAAAGAUUUAGAGCUGUAGAAAACGAUUUAGGAUCUGAACUUUUAAGGUAAGCUCGUCAACACACUGCUUAACAAUUCGUAUGAAGGAUAGUUGAGAUAAUUCCGAUUGGAAAUGGCUGGAAUGAUAGAAAAACAGAAGAUGAUCAGAUUUUCGGGCAAACCUGAGCAAGCUGCGUUUUUUUUGAGAAUUCCCGGCCAUAGAAAAGGAAUCAGAAGCUGAAAUUUUUAGGAAAAUUGAAGCUACUCGGAAAUUCGGUCAAAACAGAGCAGUGGAGUUUUGGAACUGAUUCCGAGUUAUUCACGAGUUUUUGAAGCCUCAAACUCUCAGUUUAGCUAAUUAAGAUGUUGAUUAAACGAUUUAUGCAAGAAAUUUGAAGUUAUUUGGUUAGAAAUUGAUGAACUUAAGUCUGAAAGUGCUGCUGGAAAACAGGGCCGAAAUUGAGGCUGAAGGUUGAAGAUGAAAUCUGACCAUCAUCUACUGCUUGUCAUUAAAGGGUCAAAUGAAGAUAGGUGAGGUGCAUCGACCUGAGAGGACAAGCUAGGAUCGAGCUAUAAUUUAAGAAUGAAUAUGGGAGUGAUAUGAAAUUGCUGAUUUGUCGAUGAAUGUUCAUCCUGGCGUCGGAAAAGGAAAUGGGAAACUACUUGCACAUAUUGGACAUGCACAGGGCUUCGUUGUUGUAUCUUGAUCAAGUACAAAAAAUGCAGGACUCAAAUUAGUACACCCUGGACAAACUGGAUUGUCGAUCGACAUCACAACUUCGUAAAACGGGGAUAAAUUUUGAGAGAAGCAGAACAAGCAGCGUUAUGGACGUGUCUUUUGACUUGAGAUAGGUGAAAAGCGGAGAACCUGAGUUGUGAGAAGAUCUUGAGAUAGGUGACAUCAAGUUUAAGGGGAGUCUACACAAAAUGCCUAUCUAAGGUUUACUGUAUUACAUGAUAGUGGUUUUAUCAGAUAAGUGGUAUUCCUUGUAAACCUUUUGAAUAUUAUUACCUUCUUUUCAAUUGGAUCCUGAGCCCCUCAGAUGUAGGUAAAGUUAUACCGAACUGGGUUAACAUAUUGUGUGUUAUUUCUCUCUC